rnacentral:lncRNA from 1 species
CUUCUUCUCCAUUUUAUGUUUUUUAAAGAUGAGAACCACCAUCUGCCACAAUGUUUGUCAAAAAAAUGGAGACCACCACCCCAUCCCCACCCACCUCAUUGUUCUAAAAGAUCUUCUUCCCCAACCAAGCAAAGACCGAGACAUAUAGAAAAAGAAGAAGGAAAACAAAGUUGAAACAAAAUGAAAAAAGAAACAAAUCCUUACAAAUAAUUUUUUCGAUUAUGAGAUGAAAACAAUCAAUUCUUUGAUUUUAAUAAUGUAUCAAUUUUUGUGUUGAAAAUUGGUACUUUUGUGAGCUUGUUCAGUGAAUUUUUCAUUGAUUUUUGUGUUAAAAAUUUAUGUUAUUGUUGAGCGUAAAAUGGAAAAGAUAUGCAUGAAGAUGGCGGCAAUGUUGCCUGUGAAACUUUCUCAGUUCUUCAUUGAUGUUUUUUUGACUUUGUUGGAUUUUUUUUUUGUGUUCUCG